GCGGUGGUUCCACGUCCACAGUGGGGUCAGCUCCUAUCAGACACCUCUUCAGGGACUGAGUCUUUCUGGAGGACUGACCGAGGGCUUGGGAAUGAUUUCUAAGGGUCUCUCUUUCGUUCUGAUGAUUCAAGGAGCACACAUCCCCUUCUGGAAGCCCCACAAGAGCUGGCCAUCAUCCCUCUGGCUUUGCCGACUCCCUUCCCCAGGAUCCUAGGUUUCCAUCCUUCCUCCUCUGCGGCCCCUGAUUUGGGGAAAGGAGACCUCACCUGUGAAAAUUGUAGCUCACCCGUCCAAACCAACCAAUCUUGAAGUUUCCUGAGAAGUCAGGCAACCUGAUGGCCGGCAGCUCCUUUCUCAGGGUGGCCACUGCAUACUGGUUUGCUGGGUGGGGAGAGGGAAAAGAAGGAUCUGUGAGCCGAGUGAGUUCAUUCAGUGGGAGGCAGAUUUGGUGGCCGGGCUUUAGAAUCACACACGCUGGGUUAGAAC
rnacentral:lncRNA from 1 species